rnacentral:rRNA from 1 species
AGUAAUAUAUCGGAACGUGCCCUGGAGUGGGGGAUAACGUAGCGAAAGUUACGCUAAUACCGCAUACGAUCUACGGAUGAAAGUGGGGGAUCGCAAGACCUCAUGCUCGUGGAGCGGCCGAUAUCUGAUUAGCUAGUUGGUAGGGUAAAAGCCUACCAAGGCAUCGAUCAGUAGCUGGUUUGAGAGAACGACCAGCCACACUGGGACUGAGACACGGCCCAG